UGCGGUUUGUCGUGACCUCUUUACUGC
rnacentral:piRNA from 1 species